AACGAACGCUGGCGGCAGGCCUAACACAUGCAAGUCGAGCGCACCUUCCGGUGAGCGGCGGACGGGUUAGUAACGCGUGGGAACGUACCCUUUUCUACGGAAUAGCCUUUGGAAACGAAGAGUAAUACCGUAUACGCCCUUUGGGGGAAAGAUUUAUCGGAGAAGGAUCGGCCCGCGUUAGAUUAGAUAGUUGGUGGGGCACCGGCCUACCAAGUCUACGAUCUAUAGCUGGUUUUAUAGGAUGAUCAGCAACACUGGGACUGAGACACGGCCCACACUCCUACGGGAGGCAGCAGUGGGGAAUCUUAGACGAUGGGCGCAAGCCUGAUCUAGCCAUGCCGCGUGAGUGAUGAAGGCCUUAGGGUCGUAAAGCUCUUUCGCCUGUGAUGAUAGUGACAGUAGCAGGUGAAGAAACCCCGGCUAACUCCGUGCCAGCAGCCGCGGUAAUACGGAGGGGGUUAGCGUUGUUCGGAAUUACUGGGCGUAAAGCGCACGUAGGCGGGUUGGAAAGUUGGGGGUGAAAUCCCGGGGCUCAACCCCGGAACUGCCUCCAAAACUAUCAGUCUAGAGUUCGAGAGAGGUGAGUGGAAUUCCAAGUGUAGAGGUGAAAUUCGUAGAUAUUUGGAGGAACACCAGUGGCGAAGGCGGCUCACUGGCUCGAUACUGACGCUGAGGUGCGAAAGUGUGGGGAGCAAACAGGAUUAGAUACCCUGGUAGUCCACACCGUAAACGAUGAAUGCCAGUCGUCGGGCAGUAUACUGUUCGGUGACACACCUAACGGAUUAAGCAUUCCGCCUGGGGAGUACGGUCGCAAGAUUAAAACUCAAGGGAAUUGACGGGGGCCCGCACAAGCGGUGGAGCAUGUGGUUUAAUUCGAAGCAACGCGCAGAACCUUACCAACCCUUGACAUACUCGUCGUCGCUCCAGAGAUGGAGCUUUCAGUUCGGCUGGACGAGAUACAGGUGCUGCAUGGCUGUCGUCAGCUCGUGUCGUGAGAUGUUCGGUUAAGUCCGGCAACGAGCGCAACCCACAUCCCUAGUUGCCAGCAGUUCGGCUGGGCACUCUAUGGAAACUGCCCGUGAUAAGCGGGAGGAAGGUGUGGAUGACGUCAAGUCCUCAUGGCCCUUACGGGUUGGGCUACACACGUGCUACAAUGGCAGUGACAAUGGGUUAAUCCCAAAAAACUGUCUCAGUUCGGAUUGGGGUCUGCAACUCGACCCCAUGAAGUCGGAAUCGCUAGUAAUCGCGUAACAGCAUGACGCGGUGAAUACGUUCCCGGGCCU
rnacentral:rRNA from 1 species